rnacentral:rRNA from 1 species
UACGUAGGGUGCAAGCGUUGUCCGGAAUUAUUGGGCGUAAAGAGCUCGUAGGCGGUCUGUCGCGUCUGCUGUGAAAACUCAGGGCUUAACCCUGAGCUUGCAGUGGGUACGGGCAGACUAGAGUGCGGUAGGGGGAGACUGGAAUUCCUGGUGUAGCGGUGAAAUGCGCAGAUAUCAGGAGGAACACCGGUGGCGAAGGCGGGGUCUCUGGGCCGUAACUGACGCUGGAGGAGCGAAAAGCAUGGGGAGCGAACAGG